AGAGUUUGAUCAUGGCUCAGGAUGAACGCUAGCGGCAGGCCUAACACAUGCAAGUCGAGGGGUAACAUAGGAAAGCUUGCUUUUCUGAUGACGACCGGCGCACGGGUGCGUAACGCGUAUACAACCUACCUUUUAGCGGGGAAUAGCCCAGGGAAACUUGGAUUAAUGCCCCAUAGUAUAUAGACUUCUCCUGAAGUUUAUAUUAAACAUUUAUGGCUAUUAGAUGGGUAUGCGUCCUAUUAGUUAGUUGGUAAGGUAACGGCUUACCAAGGCAGCGAUAGGUAGGGGUCCUGAGAGGGAGAUCCCCCACACUGGUACUGAGACACGGACCAGACUCCUACGGGAGGCAGCAGUGAGGAAUAUUGGACAAUGGGCGAGAGCCUGAUCCAGCCAUGCCGCGUGCAGGAAGACUGCCCUAUGGGUUGUAAACUGCUUUUACAGAGGAAGAACCACCCCCACGUGUGGGGGUUUGACGGUACUCUGCGAAUAA
rnacentral:rRNA from 1 species